rnacentral:lncRNA from 1 species
CUGGAGUGCAGAGGCAUGAUCUUGGCUCAUGGCAACCUCUACCUCCUGGGUUCAAGCAAUUCUCCUGCCUCAGCCUCCUGAGUAGCUGGGACUAUGAGAUUUUUUUUUAAUUGAAAGAAGCAAGGACAUCAGCUGAGAAGGAGGAUGGAGAAGGAGGUGACAGAAUCUGGAAGAAUAGGAGCUGUUGUUGCCAAGAGCAUUCACCAGUAGACCUGCAUGGAAAUCUCUGCUUCGGGUCUCCUUCCCAUUCUAUGGCAAUUUUAACAGAAGAGGUCCUAAGAGGCAAACCACUAAAAUGGAAUUUUGGAACUGGAUCAUCAACCAGCCACCUGGCAAUGAGGACAUCAUCCCUCGUAGUAAGUGGAGUACUGAUACCACCUGGCGUGCUGUGGCUGCAAAAGUUAAAACUUUUACCCAUGCAGAAGUUGUGAUGGGAUAUCGGUAGGAAGUAAUGAAAGCAAUAUCUCAGGCAUUUGAGAGGCCUAUCGGAAAUUGUGAUUAUAUGGAGUCAGAUGGUGGUUGCUGGAGGCUAUUGCUGCAU